ACGCCAGAGCAAGAUGGCCGACGCGGCGGCCACAGCUGGGGCCGGUGGCUCCGGAACGAGAUCGGGAAGUAAACAGUCCACUAACCCUGCCGAUAACUAUCAUCUGGCCCGGAGGAGAACUCUGCAGGUGGUUGUGAGCUCCUUGCUGACAGAGGCAGGGUUUGAGAGUGCCGAGAAAGCAUCCGUGGAAACGCUGACAGAGAUGCUGCAGAGCUACAUUUCAGAAAUUGGGAGAAGUGCCAAGUCUUACUGUGAGCACACAGCCAGGACCCAGCCCACACUGUCAGAUAUCGUGGUCACACUUGUUGAGAUGGGUUUCAAUGUGGACACUCUCCCUGCUUAUGCAAAACGGUCUCAGAGGAUGGUCAUCACUGCUCCUCCGGUGACCAAUCAGCCAGUGACCCCCAAGGCCCUCACUGCAGGGCAGAACCGACCCCACCCACCGCACAUCCCCAGCCAUUUUCCUGAGUUCCCUGAUCCCCACACCUACAUCAAAACUCCGACGUACCGUGAGCCCGUGUCAGACUACCAGGUCCUGCGGGAGAAGGCUGCAUCCCAGAGGCGCGAUGUGGAGCGGGCACUUACCCGUUUCAUGGCCAAGACAGGCGAGACUCAGAGUCUUUUCAAAGAUGACGUCAGCACAUUUCCAUUGAUUGCUGCCAGACCUUUCACCAUCCCCUACCUGACAGCUCUUCUUCCGUCUGAACUGGAGAUGCAACAAAUGGAAGAGACAGAUUCCUCGGAGCAGGAUGAACAGACAGACACAGAGAACCUUGCUCUUCAUAUCAGCAUGGUGGGUUCCACCUUCUGCCUACCUCAGAGUAUCCCCCAAACUGUCGCACCCUGCCCUCAGUCUGUCACCCUGGGACCUGGACAUGAUCGACCUCAGGUCUCUUUGGCUUUCUGUUAGGGGCCUGCAUAAGGGCUUGUGUGAUGAUCCAGAUGUGACCCGAUCUCCUGCUUGGAGACACAUCCGUGUCCUGGGGAUUCACUCAUUCAUUCAACAAAUACAGUUCCAGGUGCUGGGAUAUUAGUAGGAAGCCAAAUAAACAAAAUUCCCUGUCCUCAUGGGGCUAGUGAAAAAUAAUAAAUGAGGAGAUAGGAAGUGGGGAUGGGAAUGGGAGGGAUGCAGUAUUAGGUAGAGUGACCGAGAAGGGGGCAUUUGAGUAAAGACCGGAAGGGAACAAGGCAUGGACAUGUCUGGGGGUGGAGCCAUUCUAGGCAGCAGGGGCAGCAGAUGCAAAGGCCCUGAGGCAGGAGCUCCCCUGUUGUAUUGAAGAACAGCAAGGACAUCAGGGUGGCCAGAGUGGAGUGAACAAGGAGGAGAACAGUAGGGGAUGAGGUCCGAGAGGGCCCACGGGGAGUCAGAUCUUAUAGGGUCUUAAAGGUUAGAUUAGACACUUUGCCAUUUACUCAGUAAGGUGGACCCACUGGAGAUGUUGAGCAGAGGAGGGUCAGGAUCCGAGGUAGGUUUGCUAACAGGGUCAGUCAGGUUGCUGUGCUGAGGAUGGGCUAUAGAGGGCAGGCAGAAGCAGGGAAACCAGUUAGGAUGCUGUCACAGUAAACUGAGAGAUGGUAGGAGGAGCAAAAAUAAGGAGAUAUGGUCACCUAGAUUAUUUGGUCAGAUUCUAGAUCACUUUCAGAGCAGAGCCAGUUGAUAGAGUCGAUAUGAGAGUUAAAGAAAACGGUAAGGUUUUUUGCCUGAACAAUAGGAAAGAUGGAAUUGCCUUCAGCCAAGAUAGGAACAACCACCGGGUAGAACAGGUGUGUGGGGGAAGUCAGGAGUUGAUGUUCGUGUCUUAAACAUAGAUGUGUUAAGUUUGAGAUGCUUGUUAGACAUCAGGCGGUGAUGUCAGGUGAAGAAUUGGAUAUAUAAUUGGAGUUUGAGGAGCAGUUAGGGCAGGAGAUGCAUAUUUGGGAGCCAGCAGCCUGUAGGUCGUGUCUAAAAACAUGAGCGUGGAUGAGCUCUUCCAGGGAUGAGUGAGGAUAAGAAGAGGAGGCACAUUGAGUCCUGGAGCUGUUGCUGUGUGUAGAGCUUGAAGAGAUGAGGAAGAACCAGCAUGGAGGUGGGAGAACUGGAAGAGGGCUGUGUCCUGGAGGCCAAGGGAAGUGUUUCAGAGAGAAAAGAGCAAUUAGCUGUGUCCAAAGCUGUGGGUGGCUCCAAUGGUAGGCGGACUGAGAAUUCAACCAUUAGAUCUGGCAGUGUGGAUGUCAUUUGUGACCUUGAUGAGAGCCAUUUCAGUAAGAAUGAGAGCGAAGACCUGGAGUAAAUUCAGAGAGAAUGGGAGGAGAGAAGAGGAGUCAGUGAGUAUAGACUUGUGCUGUCCAUUACAGCAGCCACUAGCCACAUGUAGGUAUUUAAAUUUAAAUUAAUGAAAUAAAACUAAAGGCGUGAGCCACCACACCCGGCCUGGAUAUACUUUUUUUUUUUUUUAAUAUUGAAUUAUUCCUUUCAGAAUUAGGGCUGGGAGACCAUGGCUUUAAAUAAAGCAGAGGAAAUUGUUAUUGUACGCUUCUGUUAAUUUGGGCUGAGAUAUGGUGAUUGGGUCAUGGACUAAGUUGAGGUUCACCUUAUGAGAAAGAGGAAUCAUGUAAACAAACAUCAUCAUACCUUUGUAAGUACAAUAUAGUUAAAGGGCUUGGACAUGCAUUCACUGACGGUCCCGUAGUGAUGUGAGGUCAUGGUGGUAAUUGAACCUAAAGAGCGUCAGCAACUGCCUGAGGACUCUUGAAUACCAUGAGGCCAAGCCAGGGUUGCAGACAGCAGGAGUGUAGGAAGGCCUGAGUCUUAGAGUCACACUUGCCUAGCUUCAAAUCCAGGCUGUGCUGCUUGCCACAUGUGUGACCGUGAUUGUGUUACUUUACGCCUUAGUCUAUUUUCUUGUAAGGAGAAAUGGAAACACCUACCUCAAGGGACGGGGGGAGCCUGAGAUAGAGCUGGUAUCUAUCAGGUGCCUGGCAUGUGGCAGCUCCUAGCACACACUGCUCCCUCCCCUGCUGUUUUAGGCUAUCUAACCAUAUGCCCUUCUGUGAAAAAUAAAAUAAAAUGACUCCAAGACAAA